rnacentral:rRNA from 1 species
GCUUGCUAGAAGAUGACGAGUGGCGGACGGGUGAGUAAUGCUUGGGAACUUGCCUUUGCGAGGGGGAUAACAGUUGGAAACGACUGCUAAUACCGCAUAAUGUCUUCGGACCAAACGGGGCUUCGGCUCCGGCGCAAAGAGAGGCCCAAGUGAGAUUAGCUAGUUGGUAAGGUAACGGCUUACCAAGGCGACGAUCUCUAGCUGUUCUGAGAGGAAGAUCAGCCACACUGGGACUGAGACACGGCCCAGACUCCUACGGGAGGCAGCAGUGGGGAAUAUUGCACAAUGGGGGAAACCCUGAUGCAGCCAUGCCGCGUGUGUGAAGAAGGCCUUCGGGUUGUAAAGCACUUUCAGUUGUGAGGAAAAGUUAGUAGUUAAUACCUGCUAGCCGUGACGUUAACAACAGAAGAAGCACCGGCUAACUCCGCGCCAGCAGCCGCGGUAAUACGGAGGGUGCGAGCGUUAAUCGGAAUUACUGGGCGUAAAACGCACGCAGGCGGUUUGUUAAGCUAGAUGUGAAAGCCCCGGGCUCAACCUGGGAUGGUCAUUUAGAACUGGCAGACUAGAGUCUUGGAGAGGGGAGUGGAAUUCCAGGUGUAG